rnacentral:lncRNA from 1 species
GCCUCAUAAUCUCUGCACAGCUGGCGAUUCUGUUACAAUAAUCCAACGGCCUAACAGAUCUCCAACGGCCUAAUAGAUCUCCAAUGGUCUAACGGUUUAACAGAUCUCUGACGGCCUAACAUAUCUCUAAUAGCCUAACAAACUUUCUUUAAGGCCUAAGCUAGCUUCCUUUAUAAAAAGUGGACAAGGUGUUCUUCGGAAGGUAAAUCUGAGCUA